CAAAGAAACAUUUGACUCCCGAACCCAAUCACAGAUAAACUCCUACCUUAACGAAGAACUCACGAUCUGCAGAUGAAGAACCCAUGAUUUGCAAACUAACCUCGAUUUCUUGCCGAAAAUCGAAGAACCCAGAGGAAACUGAGAUUGCAAACCUAACUUAGCUUCGAUCGAGAUCGAGACUGAACAACUAUGCUGUAAACACGAAGAGACCCUUUAGAUUGCAUUAGAGAUGGUUGACACCGACCAAGAAUCGACCGCAGAAAUCGACAAAUUUGACUCCGUGGAGAUGGAUGGAGCAAAGUUCAAUGGUCACUAGGACAAUGAAUGAAAUAUUGUGAGUAAAUCGCAACAUGAUAUAAAUUUUAGUGGCCAAAGAAACAUUUGACUCCCGAACCCAAUCACAGAUAAACUCCUACCUUAACGAAGAACUCACGAUCUGCAGAUGAAGAACCCAUGAUUUGCAAACUAACCUCGAUUUCUUGCCGAAAAUCGAAGAACCCAGAGGAAACUGAGAUUGCAAACGUAACUUAGCUUCGAUCGAGAUCGAGACUGAACAACUAUGCUGCAAACACGAAGAGACCCUUUAGAUUGCAUUAGAGAUGGUUGACACCGACCAAGAAUCGACCGCAGAAAUCGACAAAUUUGACUCCACACCCACUGCACCG
rnacentral:lncRNA from 1 species